rnacentral:rRNA from 1 species
UACGUAGGGGGCAAGCGUUGUCCGGAUUUAUUGGGCGUAAAGAGCGUUUAGGCGGCCACACAGGUCUGCUGUGAAAACUCGAGGCUCAACCUCGAGCUGUCGGUGGAAACCGUGUGGCUAGAGUCCGGAAGAGGAGAGUGGAAUUCCCGGUGUAGCGGUGAAAUGCGCAGAUAUCGGGAAGAACACCCGUGGCGAAGGCGGCUCUCUGGGACGGUACUGACGCUGAGACGCGAAAGCGUGGGGAGCGAACAGG